UGUCCUGGUCUCUUCCAGGAUCAAAGAUGUGUCCCCAGGGCUGACUGUGGGGUUUCUCAUGCCCGACAUGGGGUGUUAAGGAUGAGGUGGGCCCGAAACACAGCAGCAUUAAAGCAAUCAGGGAUUUAACAGCAGUCCCCGUCCCUGAGGUGUUUAAGGGAGGUGUGGAUGUGGCACCAAGGGACGUGGCUUGGAGGUGGGACUUGGCAGUGUUAGGUGAUGGUUGGACUUGGUGAUCUUAGGGGUUUUUCCUAGUCUAAAGGAUUCUGUGAUUCAGGAUUCUUCUGAAAAGAGUUCUGUGAUCUCUUCUAUUAUUUUUUUCUUCUUUUCUACUUUAUUUUCUAGUUGUCUGUGGUAGCUACACAACUGCUACAUGUCUGCUGAGUGAGCCAGCCUGUGGAGAUGAACAAUUCAACCAAAUUCAUGCAGGAAAACAGAGCCUGACCCCAGUCCUGGCACCACCCUGCUUCGCUGGCAGCUGGCAGCACAGCAGCCAGGAGGAAAGGCUGGGGCUUAAGUGAUUUAACUUGGAGAGCACAGCAGCAAGAGUGAAAUCCACUUACACGGGCUAAUUGAUCAUGAAUGACUCCUUAAUUAGAAAUUAGAGAAAUGCCCCCAAACUUAAGAGGAGAAACGGGACCAAGGUGUUGAUGAGCUGAGGGGUAUUCAUGUGAUUCUGGAUUUUCCUUCAAAGAUGCUCUCGCCAAUUAACUUUUCAUGACAGAAAUUUGUUUGCCUUAAUACAGCCAGUUAGAAGCAUUUUCAGAUACAUUAUUUAAAGCCUGAAAAUAAAUAGUGGCUGCUCAGCCUGCGCUCUGUGAAGCUCAGAGCCGCUUGCCUUCUCGCUCAAUUAUUGAUGGCACUUUCAAGCUGCAUUUGAGACACUCCUGCCUGCACAGGGGAAAAUCCUGGCUUGUUUACUUGCUUGCUCUAUUCCUCAAAGUCUCAAAAAAUCUCAUUCGGUGAUGGAUUUGAGGCUUUUAUCACCCUGUAUUUCACCCUUGCCACAGCAGAGGAUUUAUUUCCGAAGCCCCACCUGAAAUGCCAGCAAUGACACAACAUGAUUCCACCACCAAGGGAAAGUUGCACACUUGCUAGCUGGAUGAGCACAGGAUGCUUCUGAAGCACCCGAGAUUGACUGCAAGGUCUGACUGAUGCUUUUCUCACUUGAUGGACUUUUAUCUCUCUCCCAGCAUGGGCUUUCUGAUGUUUAAUAAGGUAUGAGCUUUUUUUUUUUUUCCUCACUGAGACAUUUGCAGGAUCUUUCCUCUCACCACAGAUGUCACUUGAUGCAAACUUCUGCCACGACAUACUUAUCCUCGGAAUUGCCAUACUUGUGUCAGAUUUGAUUGAAAUUAGCCUGGAGGCUCCCCGCGGGGGACAGCAGCCUGCUGGCCAGCUUUUUGAGCAACGGGCAGCACAGCAUCACCCAAGACAGGUCUGAGUAAGAGAGGAGUGUUGUCGGAAGCAGAAAUGACAAGGAACCUGUUUCAGACACCUCGCACUGGGGAAUUCACUUCCCAUCCCAGCUCCUUCCCACAUGGCAAAUGGGAGUCACAGAGCUGGAAAGCCUGUUGGGCUCACAGCCCUAAUUAAUAUUGCAAACGAGCUGGGGAUGGGAUGCCAUCAGGCAGGCUCCAGGUGUGCCCUGACCUUUGCUGUCAGCAGGUCUGCAAAGUCCUGAGUCAAAACCAAGGGGAAAUUCAGCCCUGAUUUCAAGGGAACCAGCAUUUUGCCUCCUCCUGCUGCCUCCGUGCUGUGCUAGCACCUACUGUCACCUCUUUUGGGAUGCAACAACCCAGCUGUGCUGCCUUUGCCUGCUUUGAUAACCUCCAGGGUCGGUCUUUUUGCUUUUAAAAUGACAAGAAUGCUCCUUGCUCCACAGGUCCUUCCUCUGGUACCUGCUGAGGUGGAAACUCAGCUUUUGGGCUGGUGUUGUCCGAUGGCCACUGCUGUUGUGGGAAGGGUAAGGUUUGUGACAUCUAUGCCAAUGAACCCGCUGCUCUGGGAACUAAAUGAGAGCCCAGCACCUGCCAGGGAGAAAAGAAGAGACCUGAGCUUCUCUUCCCCAGAGAAAAUAAGUGCAAAUAAUGUACUCAUAAAAGAAGGAGGGAAAAAAAAAAUGCCAUCCCGAGUACUUUCCGUUCUCCUUUACAUGCUUACAAGAAAGCAAUUGAGGCUUGGCACUUGCAUUUAUUCAACAAAAAAUUCUUGUGACUUCGUUUCUUUCCAGAGCAGUCAACCACACUGCUUGAUACGCCGUGACCUUGAAACAUAAUGAAGCAUUGAAAAGCAAAUCCGGCGGUACAGAAAGGAAGUGUGUUUUACCCUGCAAGAGGAGGUACUGAGGUCCAAGUAAGAAACAACCGAGCGGUUAUCUCUGGCGGCUCAAAUCUCAUCCUGGCAGGGCUUGUACAAGACAACCUUUGUUAGGAGAGCUGUGCCCAGGGCAAUGUGUGGAGGGCUCCGUGGAGGAGCACCUGGCGCUGGGCACACAUCUGACAUUUAACAUCAUUUUGCAAUGGUCUCUUUGCAUCGUGUCCCUCUUUGCCCUUGGUGGUGUGUGAUAGCCCCAAGGACAGGGCCCUGGGAGCAGGAACCAUUGCAAAGAAAUGUCCUCAGGGCAGGGGGAAAGAGGGUGUCUGGCACAGGUGGGAGAGGUUUGGAUGUGUUGGUGGAUUUAGGGGCUUGCUGGCACACCAGCAGCACUCCUGUGCUACCCUCCUGUGGCAAAAAAUGUCCCCAGUUCCAUCUCUGAGGCAGCUCUAGGUAGCAGAGGUGGGAGCUGUAAAGGAGCCUUGGAGGCAGGGUGAGGGACCUGCCCAGGAGCCCGUUCAGAGAGCACUUGGGUGAGGGCAUCAGCAAGGAUGUUUCUUCCCAUGUAGGGUAGCCAGAACUGAGAAGAGACAGGAUUGGAAAUCUGUGUGUUUGGUACUGUGCAGUCCUGAAUGCUCUCUGCGUGCUGGUGGUGCUCAGCACCUCCCAGGGUGGGACCUCAGAGACAAUUAUGGUCCAGAAGAUUCAACACCUUGGCCAGAAACCUAAAACCAUUAAAAAUAGAGGGAUGAUACCCGGAGCAGAAAUACAGAUCUUCAUGCUCUCUGACACAGGCUGCAAUACACUUAGGAUGAAUGUGGGUUUCCAGAGCUGGGAAGUUUUCCUCCUAGAGUGACUUUCACCUCAAAGUCUUUGGGAUGAGAGGAAAAGCCUCUAACCUCAUCUGGAGCAGCGCAGCCCCAUCUGGCCCAGUUCUCUGGAGGAAAGCCAAGAGGACAGCACUCCUCCCCUGCUGGUACAUGGUUUGUUUGGCAGGCUGCAGCCCACGCCGAGCCGUGCCGGGACUUUGCAUCCCUGGCUUGGACAGGAUGCUGCAAGGAGCUGGUAGGAGAAAGCAUCUCCUGACAGGGCAGCUGCCUUCACGUUAAUCGGUAAGUAAUUGUUAAUUACAGCACUGAGUUAGUAUCUGCACAGCCUUUACAUCCAGGAGAUGCUAUAUAAUGCAAAGUCAGCUGAUCAGCAUCCCAAAUUGGGCGGGCACUCACUGAAAAUACUCCGAGUUACUGCCUGGACAAAGGGCCAGUUGUCAGGGUCUGGAUGGAGACCUGGGGGCUGCAGAUAGGAACAGAGGGAUGAGAAAUUGGGGGAUGCUGCAUGAGGCUGUGCUGGUUGUACCGUGUGGUCCUGGGCACCCAGUGUUGGCUGUGGAGAAAAUAAAACUGCUCCAAGACAUCCUUGUGCACUCUCUGACUGCCCCCGUGAUGCUGCUCAGCAGGCACGUGUGCGGGCAGGGUCUUGCUCCAGCCCUCGGUACUGUGUGAUUUACAGCUCUGGUCUCUUCUGGAUUUUUGGGGCUAAUUUGAGGCCCCAAGCUGCAGGGACAGAUAGAUGAACCCAAUGACCAGCUUUCAGGCCAGCAAAGAUCUGUUAAUCCAGAGCCACGUGGAGCCGGGACGGAUGGUGUGAGGUGCCGAUGCUGGCUGGUGCUCAGCUGCUUGCAGCACGGUGGGGAUGAGUGUGGGCAGCUCUUCUGGCAGAUCAUCACGUUGAGUGGUGCUGAUGAUGUGAAACAGCUGCUCCGAACACAAGCCGGUGCAAUCACCAAUUCAAUUAACCGUAUUGAUUAAUACGGGAGCUCAGCAAAAAUCUUAAAUGAGGCCGCCUGUCACCCAACAUGUGAAAUUACCGUGCCCUACCUAUGCUAGUUAAACGAGGCUGAAACAUUUACCCUUCUUAUCAUCCUACUGUGUGAGAAGUGGAAAAGGUCUCGCAGCGAUUCAAUGGAAAGGAAUAAAUCACAGGCACAUCACCCCACAGCACAGUUAAAUGGCUCUUGCUCUCCACGUCUUCAAUCUAGAGAAGUAGUGAUGCUCUUUGGCUGUACAGGGGGAAAUUGGGUAGCCAA